UACGGGGGGUGCGAGCGUUGUCCGGAAUCACUGGGCGUAAAGGGCGCGUAGGUGGUCUGAUAAGGGUGUGGUGAAAGCCCGGGGCUCAACCCCGGGUCGGCCGUGCCGACUGUUAGACUAGAGUGCUGUAGGGGCAGGCGGAAUUCCGGGUCUAGCGGUGGAAUGCGUAGAGAUCCGGAGGAAGACCGGUGGCGAAGGCGGCCUGCUGGGCAGUUACUGACACUGAGGCGCGACAGCGUGGGGAGCAAACAGG
rnacentral:rRNA from 1 species